rnacentral:rRNA from 1 species
AUGUAGCAACAUUGUAGUAUGUACUGUAGCAGCACUGUUCACAGCCGGCCGAGAAACCAGAGAAACAGAGAAUCCACACGGGCGUGUGGAAAUUAUCCAUGCCUAUGUGGAAAUUCUGCACAGGCGCGUGGAGCAUCCACGCCCGUGGAUUCGCCCGAUUCCAGCCCUAUUUAAAGCCGAUUCAGCACCGAUUUUUGUAUUCUUUUCUCCAUCUUUUCCCCAACUUGCGAGAGGGCUUCGGCUAGGGUUUCGAGGGGUAUUGGGUAGGGUUUUGGAGAGAUUCUACAGCUCCGACAUCGCGCAUCGUUUGGAAUAAGGUUAUUGGGAGAGCUUUCGUCGGCACCGAUCCUGCGAGGUGUAUCCUAGGCCGGACAAAGGAUCCCUUGCGACGAGUAGAGGACUCUCCACAAGACCAUCGAGGUGCAUUCUAUUUCUUUGAUUGUACUUAGCUCCAUGGAGAGCUAAACCCUUAGUGGGUACUUGGGUGAUUGUGAACCCUAGGAUGUAUUCGUUUCUUUGAACUUCUUUAUUAUGCUUUCAAUAAAUUAAUGUUUAUUGUGAGUUCCAACCUUGAAUGCUUGAUUGUAUGAGAAUUUCCCCUAGAGUGACACUAGGGUUGAGAUUUCUUGUUGGUAACCUUGUGAGUGAGUGACACACCACGAGCGUUAGACAAAGCUAGGUUGGAGAGAGUUGAGAGGGUGAGUCGAGAGGUACAGGAGCGUCCCCUUUCUCCUCUGCCGUGAUAGAUUCUACCUCCAUUCCUAGAGUUCUUUGGGGCCAUAAUAGAGUGAAUGGUCUAAGGGAUGAACUUCCACUGGGGCUUAGUUGCGCGUGCAACGGAGUGAAGCGUUGAGGUGAUCUUAGUAUCUAGGGCUUAAUUGUGGUUAGGGACCUUCCACCUGGACCAAAGGGUUAGGUCUAUUAUAAGGAAGAGAUUUGUCACUUGGAAUCCCUAGAGCUCAUUGCAACUCUAUGCGAGUGCGAGGUGUUGAGAUUGUUCGAUUUCUCCUCCGGGACAUUUAUAGAGUUAGGCAUAGUUGACCUUAGAUUUGGGACUAUGCAAUUAAGGAUUACCACGACUCACCAUUGCAUUGAUUAGGAAGCAUAAUAGAGGGUUCUUGCACUUGAAACAAUUAUCCUAGGUGGAGCAUUAUUAGGGUACCCCAUCUUUAUUGACUGCCUUACCCACUUCUUAACUUUUGCUCUCUUACUUGUUGCUUUUACUGUUGAGAAUUGAAUCAUUGUCACACUCAUUAUCAUUGAUCUUGUACAUAGCUAAGAAUCGAAUUAAGUAUUUUUAUUCUCUACUCCCUUUGGAUUCGAUACCCGCUCACCCGUUAUUAUUAGUUCGACAAACCCGUGCACUUGCGGGAUAUACACAAGGGGACCUUGUCAUAGGUCGCGACUGUCUGUUGUCAUAUUCAACGACGGUUGAAACUUCCAGGAAAAAACUUUGAAUUGGGAGGGCGAUCCCCCCGGUGAACUGACCGUACCCCAAACCGACACAGGUGAACAAGUAGAGUAUACUAGGGCGCGUCGAGAGAACCAUGUCGAAGGAACUCGGCAAAAUGACSCCGUAACUUCGGGAGAAGGGGUGCUCUCCUCUUGAUUAGGAAAGCGGCACAGACCAGGKGGUAGCGACUGUUUAUUAAAAACACAAGACUCUACUAAGUGGUAACACAAUUUAUAGAGUCUGACACCUGCCCGGUGCUGGAAGGUUGGAAGGAGAAGUGUGAUAAGCUUUGAAUGGAAGCCCCGGUAAACGGCGACAGUAACUCUAACUGUCCUAAGGUAGAAAAAUUCUUGUCGCAUAAGUAGUGACCUGCACGAAUGGUGUAACGACUGCCCCGCUGUCUCCGACAUGGACCCGGUGAAAUUGAAUUCUCCGUAAAGAUGCGGAGUACCAAAGGCUAGACGGUAAGACCUCAUGCACCUUGACUAUAGCUUCGCAGUGAUAACCUUAAUUGAAUGUGUAGGAUAGGUGGGAGGUGGUAACACACAAGGACCAAUCCUGAAAGACCACUCUUUCGUCUAAGGAUGCCUAACCGCUGCAUCGAUCAUUCGGGGGGAGGGGGCGGGACACUACGAGGUUGGUUGUUUAUCUGGGGUGGAUGCCUCCUAAAGAGUAACGGAGGUGUGCGAAGGUAGGCUCAAGCGUUGAUUCUGCUUAUGAGCGUAAUGGUAUAAGCCUGCCUGACUGUGAAACUGACUGGUCGAACAGAGACUAAAGUCGGGCAUAAUGAUCCGGGAGUCGCAUGUGGAAGGGUUCUCGCUCAACAUAUCAAAGGUACACCGGGGAUAAUAGGCUGAUGACUCCCAAGAGCUCUUAUCGACUGAAUCAUUUGGCACCUCGAUGUUGACUCAUCACAUCUCGGGGUUGAAGAAGGUCCCAAGGGUUCGGUUGUUCGCCGAUGAAAGUGGUACGUGAGUUGGGUUUAGAAAGUCAUGAGAUAGUUCGGUUCCUAUCUACCGUUGGUGUUAAAGGGAGAACUGCAAGGAGCCAACCCUAGUACGAGAGGACUGGGUUGGGUCAACCUAUGGUGUACCGGUUGUUAUGCCAAUAACAGCGCUGGGCAGCUAAGUUGGUAUGGAAGAACUGCUGCACCGCGGGAAAUCUUUCUCUAUACAAGUUCUCGUACGAGGUUUUU